CAGUGGGGUCCAAAGCCACCACCUGUUCAUCUGGCCCUUGGUUCAGAGCUGCAGCUGCCCCCUCCCGAAGAACCCCGUCCCGACCCCGCACCCAGCUGCCCCCACCCUCGGUCGUCCCCUGAAGCCCCGGCAGACCCUGCCAGCCGAAUCUGCACGGAACUGUGCCCGGACGUGGUGGCCACGCCUUGUGGAGGCAUCUGCACCUGUGGAAUAGGACCUGGGGCUGACCUUGGUGAGGACCACGGAGCCACGUCGGGACAGCGCUCCGUCCUAGUGCCGGCCAUGGGACAGUGAACCUCCGGUCCUGUUGACGUGAUCUGUCCGCCAUCCCGAGGCCUUGGACACCUGCCGGACGCUCCGAGGCCCCGCUGCCCUCUGCCCUUCAUGCUGUGCAGAAGGAACCUGGGGUCCUGCCCGCCCAGCCCCCCGUGAAAAGCAAAAGGAGCUCACUAUGCACCGGCCAAAGCCGAAAUUAAAAUGAGCCCCUCCUGCGAAGGGGGAACCAGCCUUGCUGAGAAGAUGUAAUUUAGCUGCAGAAAGAACUCCCGCUGGCUAGAAAUCCCACCGCAAGGAGCUGGCAAAACGAACCCUUUGUCUGAGGUGUUCCUUCCACGGUGGAGGCUUUCAGAACCUGAGCAGUUGCUGCCCGAGCACGCAACAAAGAAAAUUACUCCGGGCCAGGCUGGGGUUAGGGUGGGUGGGCAGCACGGAGGCCCAGCCCGAAGUCAGGCCUCUGGGCUAACGCUCUGCGCUCAGGGACCUCGGUGGUCUCAGGGUUCUCCACAAGGCUGGGGAAGGUGUGCGAUGGUCUGGGCGAGGGGCCUGCAGGUGGUGAGGGGAGGGGACGUGGGCGCAGGGACGUCCCAAGGCCCUUUCCUGGAGCUGUCAAGUGUCCCAGCAGCUCCCUUGAGGCCCCGGUGUCUGGGAGCCCUGAGGGGAGCCCUGGCCCAGCCCAGGCAUGGGGUUUUCACAGCCCGCCGGGAAAGCAAAGGGCUACCGCCGCCUUCACUGCUCGCUCGGGAACACCGGGGAGCCCAUCAGAAAACCCCUUCCCGGGCGCCUGGGUGGCUCAGUCGGUUGGGCGACUGCCUUC